UUGGGUUAAAAAACACAGAUUUUGAGAAUUACCUACGAAAAUGUCCCGUUUCUGCAUAAAAAUACGAUUUCUGUAGGAGAUCUUUUCGCACACUGCAACUCUUCAAUUUUGGAGGACAUUCCGCUUGAAGAAAACAAAGGAAACAACCCAGGCAAUAAUGUUCAUGGCCAACCUUCACGUGCCAAGAAUCACCACACGGGACAUAUCAGUAUGGAGUAUUUAAAUGACCCCCUUAAGAGGUCACAAACUCUAAGUAAAAGAAGGGCUACCAUCUUUAGUAAGAUGGAACAGUUAUCAAAACUGACCAAGACAGAACUUGUGGUUAGAUGGAAAACCCCGAUUGGUAGCAGUGGAAUUUUCAAGUAAGAUGGGAAAGAAGCAAAACAUGCAGAAAAUGG
rnacentral:lncRNA from 1 species